UACGAAGGGUGCAAGCGUUACUCGGAAUUACUGGGCGUAAAGCGUGCGUAGGUGGUUCGUUAAGUCUGAUGUGAAAGCCCUGGGCUCAACCUGGGAAUGGCAUUGGAAACUGGCGACCUAGAGUGCGGUAGAGGGUAGUGGAAUUCCCGGUGUAGCAGUGAAAUGCGUAGAGAUCGGGAGGAACAUCUGUGGCGAAGGCGACUGCCUGGACCAGCACUGACACUGAGGCACGAAAGCGUGGGGAGCAAACAGG
rnacentral:rRNA from 1 species